CCUUGGAUAGCUCAGGCAGUAGAGCUUGAGACUCUUAAUCUCAGGGUCAUGGGUUCAAGUCCUGUGUUGGGCA